UUCGUAGGCGGUGCGGCAAAGUCGGGAGUGAAAUCUCUCGGGCUUAACUCAGAGGACUGCUUCCGAAACUUAGACCGCGCUAGAGUGCGGGAGAGGCCAGUGGAAUUGCAGGUGUAGCGGUGAAAUGCGUAGAUAUCUGCAGGAACACCCGUGGCGAAGGCGGCUGGCUGGACCGUAACUGACGCUGAGGAACGAAAGCUAGGGGAGCAAACAGGAUUAGAUACCCUGGUAGUCCUAGCCCUAAACCAUCAGGACUUGGGGUGCAUCCCGUUGGGGGUGCGUCCCGUAGCUAACGCGUUAAGUCCUGCGCCUGGGGAGUACGGUCGCAAGGCUGAA
rnacentral:rRNA from 1 species